CUGCGCAAAGGGCUCAACUCUAUCGUCGCUCUGACCGCUUGGGCCAUCUGGAAGCACCGCAACGCCGUCAUCUUCAACGGCCUUCACCCCUCCACCGACGAUCUUGUGCUUUCCAUCCAGGAUGACGCUCGCCUCUGGGCUAAGGCUGGCGCCAAGGGAUUAGCCGCUAUUAUUCCUGUAUCCUGA
rnacentral:rRNA from 1 species